rnacentral:rRNA from 1 species
AGAGAGAGACAUGCGCGCAUAUCAAUAAGCGGAGGAAAAGAAACUAACAAGGAUUCCCCUAGUAACGGCGAGUGAAGCGGGAAGAGCUCAAAUUUGAAAUCUUAAAGGGUUUCCCUUUACGAAUUGUAGUUUAAAGAAGUGUUUUCUGUUGAGGUUUUGGUAAAAGUUCUUUGGAAUAGGACAUCAUAGAGGGUGAGAAUCCCGUAUUUGACCUUUACUUUCAACUUUGUGAUACACUUUCAAAGAGUCGGAUUGUUUGGGAAUGCAGUCCAAAAUGGGUGGUAAAUUUCAUCUAAAGCUAAAUAUUGGCGAGAGACCGAUAGCGAACAAGUACCGUGAGGGAAAGAUGAGAAGAACUUUGAAAAGAGAGUUAAACAGUACGUGAAAUUGUCAAAAGGGAAGCGUUUGACACCAGUGUUGUUUUUCUGAAAAUCAAUUAAAGGACUGUUUAUGCUAAGUUGUUUAGACUUUAUCAGCUAACUGUUUAGUUUUGAGCUUUUCUUUAAUGCACUUUUCAGUUAACAAGUCAACAUCAAUUUCUUUUGCUGUAAAAAAGCUUGAGGAAGGUGGCUUGAGAUUCGUCUUAAGUGUUUAUAGCCUCUUGCCUAUGCAGUCGGAGAGAUUGAGGUCUGCAGCGUAGAUCCUUCGGGGCUAAAUGCAUUUGUGCUAAGUUAUAGCAUUUUAUAGACAACUUGUUGACUAUGAUUUGUCUUGUAGCUUACUCGCUUAUGUUAUUUUACCUACGCUUAGGAUGUUGACGCAUGAGAUAUACGC